AUUUUAUAUUGAAAAAAUGCUUUAAUACGAAUUGAAUUUGUGCUCCCAGUCUAACUAUGUUCUGGAUGCUAUCAAUGGAGGUUAUAUAUUGGUACUCUAAAUCCUGUCAAUAGAGAUUAUAUGUUGAUACUCUGUUAUGGACCCUACUAUAGGGAUAAGUAUGAUCGUAGUUAAGACUGUUGAGUUAUAUGUGCUUUGUUUCGAAUCUGAUUUAUGAUUAUGCAUAUAAAUAUAAA
rnacentral:lncRNA from 1 species